rfam:Prunus persica cultivar Lovell chromosome G7, whole genome shotgun sequence.
AAACCAUGGUGAGGGCACUGUAUUAAAAAAUUAUUGAACCUUUCCCAAGCUUCUGAAAAUGACUCAUCGGUCUGUUGACUGAAUUGCAUGAUUUUAUCCCUCAGUGC